rnacentral:lncRNA from 1 species
GUCCAUUUUGACAGGGUGCUGAUUGGUGUGUUUACAAUCCCUGAGCUAGACACAAAAGUUCUCCAAGUCCCCACUAGAUUAGCUAGGCACAGAGCACUGAUUGGUGCAUUUACAAACCUUGAGCUAGACACAGGGUGCUGAUUGGUGUAUUUACAAUCCCUUAGCUAGACAAAGGUUCUCCAAGUCCCCACUAGACUCAGGAGCUCAGCUGGCUUCACCUAGUGGAUCCUGCACAGGGGCCACAGGCGGAACUGCCCACCAGUCCAGCACUCAGUGAAUCCGCACUCCUCAGACCUUGGGCCAUCGAUGGGACGGGGCACCACGGAGCAGGGGGCGGCUUGGACUGUGCAGGAGCCCCAGGUGCGGGGGAGGCUCGGGCAUGGCGGGCUGCAGGUCCCAAGCCCUGCCCCUCCGGAGGCAGCAGGGGCCCGGGGAGAACUGGAGCGCGGCGCUGGUGGGCAGGCACUGCUGGGGGACCUGGCGCACCCUCCGCAGCUGCUGGCCGGGGUGCUAAGCCCCUCAGUGCCCCGGGCCUGCGGAGCCAGCCUGGCCACUCUGAGCUUGGGGCCCGUCGAGCCCACGCCCACCUGGAGUGCCUGCCACCCUGCCCGGCUAAUUUUUUGUAUUUUUUAGUAGAGACGGGGUUUCACCGUGUUAGCCAGCAUGGUCUCAAUCUCCUGACCUCAUGAUCCACCCGCUUCGGCCUCUCAAAGUGCCGGGAUUACAGGCGUGAGCCACCAUGCCCAGCCAGCAUUUUCUGUAUCUUAAGAAGUAUGGAAUUGUACACUUCUUUGAGGCAGAUAUGCCUUUGUUCUGAAAAAAACAAAAAUUGCCCCAAGUGUUCUGAACAAGGGGACAGGCAAUCAU